UACAGAGGUCUCAAGCGUUGUUCGGAUUCAUUGGGCGUAAAGGGUGCGUAGGCGGCGCGGUAAGUCGGGGUGUGAAAUCUCGGAGCUUAACUCCGAAACUGCAUUCGAUACUGCCGUGCUUGAGGACUGGAGAGGAGACUGGAAUUUACGGUGUAGCGGUGAAAUGCGUAGAUAUCGUAAGGAAGACCAGUGGCGAAGGCGGGUCUCUGGACAGUUCCUGACGCUGAGGCACGAAGGUCAGGGGAGCAAAACGGG
rnacentral:rRNA from 1 species